CCCGCUGUUCAUUUCCAUGUGACAAACAUGUUACGUGUGCAGAGCAUGUCCAAGGUACUGUGGGAGCACAUGAGGCAGGAGAAGAAAGAGCGUGGUGAAGCAGGAAGGAGCCUCACCCACCUCCAUGUACAGCAUGUGGAAAGAAGAAUUUCUCAAGACUUUGAGUAAGAAGAAGGAGCAGCGACAGCAACAGUCCCCACUUGGACGGGACUGUAAUGAAAAUGAGGAUGACAGAAGCUGUAGUUGGGCGCAGUAGUACAACCGUGUAUUUGUGUACCACGGCCGAUCCACAGUGCCUGCUAGCUGUUUUAACAUAGAGCUUUGCAUCCAAUUCUCAUAACGUGCCAAAUGCUUGGUAUUAUGGUGUACCCUAUACAGCUGAGGAAAACAGGGCUCCUGACCCUUGAGAAACUUCUUGAAAGUCUCACCUACAGCCAGUAAAA
rnacentral:lncRNA from 1 species